CAAGAAUCUCAUCAGAUGUCAUUUGGAUCCCUUAACUAGAGCUCAACGAAUUGGACCUCAUGGAAACUCGUUUCUUGCUUCAUGGUUUGUUAAAAAAAAAAUAUGACCAAAGGCACGUUCGUUCUAACAGAGUCCACGUCAUGCAUGGAGCUGCUUGAGUCACUUCCGUUUUCCCUUUACUAGUAGGGUGGGGGUCCCGUGGUUCCUAUGCCGCCGCGUUUCUCAUUAACAUCCUCAUCAUCUCUAUCACCAUCAUCUUUAUCAUCAGUACUUUAGACUGGGAGAGUACUGUUGUAAUGCUUUUAUCUUAAUUAGUAUGUUUCUUUAUUCCCAAGAUCCCUUAUGAACUAAUUGUUGUUGUUCUGUUCCUGUGAUAUCUAGAAUGCUAAUAAAUAAAUUCAUCCAUGGAUUCUUAGUA